AUGUUUACUGAGGAGGAGGUGUGGAGCACGAUCAAAGAGAUGCCUCUGGACCGCACACCAGGGCCAGAUGGGUUCAUUGGAGCAUUUUACCAGCGCGCCUGUCCGAUCAUCAAGCUUGAUCUCAUGGCGGUCACGCAUAAGCUGUAUGUUGGGGAUGGACGAGGCUUUGGCAAAAUCAACAGUUCACACAUCGUGCUUAUCCCUAAGAAACCGGAUGCUAUGGAGGUGGGAGACUUUCGGCCGAUCAGUUUAACUCACAGUGCAGCCAAGAUUUUUGCUAAAAUGCUCGCAAACCGCGCGAGGCCUCACAUGAAGCAUGUGGUAGCGGCCAACCAAUCCACUUUCAUAAAGGCCAGGAGCCUGCGUGACAACUUCCUUCUUGUAUGCCAAGUUGCUCGGAAGAUCCACAAUUGCAAGGAAGCUGGUCUCUUCCUGAAGCUAGACAUCUCUAGGGCUUUUGACUCCCUAUCGUGGUCGUUCUUAUUUGAAGUUAUUCGGACCAACGGUUUCGGCAAUAGAUGGAUCGGGUGGAUUUCUAUCUUACUGAGAACGGCUUCCACGCAAGUUCUGGUGAACGGGGUCCCAAGGGAAGUUUUCCAGCUGGCGUGUGGUAUGAGGCAGGGCGAUCCUAUAUCGCCGCUGCUCUUUGUCAUAGCUAUGGACGUGCUAACCCUGAUGGUCACCAGGGCGGCUGAGGAGCGAGCAAUCAGCUCUUUCCACGGGAUUUUGGCAGUACAGAGGAUUUUCAUUUACGCGGAUGACGUUGCCCUAUUCAUAAGGCCAUUGAGGGAGGAUUUGCAUUGUGUUUGCUGUGCGCUUGAAGCUUUUGGGGAAGCCUCGGGACUUCAUGUCAAUUACAGAAAAUCAUCGGCCAUCCUCAUCCGUGGCUCUGAGCUAGACAAGACUAGAGUGGCGGCGAUGUUACAGUGCGACAUGUCGGAGUUCCCUUGCAAGUACCUUGGACUACAAUUGGCGAUCAAACAAUUUACCAAGAAUGAGUGGCAGCCUAUGCUAGAUCGAGCAAAGAAAGUGGUCCCGGCUUGGCAAAGAGGGUUGGUCACAAGACCCGGGAGGUUAAUUCUUGUCAAGACGGUCAUGUCCGCAAGGCCAAUACAUCACCUCUUGGUGAUGAACACGCCUCUCUGGGUUUAUGAGGAGCUCAAUAAAUGGAUGAGAGCAUUUUUUUGGACGGCCAAGGAAAAGGUGAAUGGUAGGCAAUGCCUGGUGUCAUGGAGAAAAAUCUGUAGACCGACGUGCUAUGGAGGGCUAGGGGUAAAAGAUUUGCAAACACAUGCACUUGCGCUGCUGGUCAGAUGA
rnacentral:rRNA from 1 species